UACGUAGGGGGCAAGCGUUAUCCGGAUUUACUGGGUGUAAAGGGAGCGUAGACGGCGAUGCAAGCCAGAUGUGAAAGCCCGGGGCUCAACCCCGGGACUGCAUUUGGAACUGUGUGGCUGGAGUGUCGGAGAGGCAAGUGGAAUUCCUAGUGUAGCGGUGAAAUGCGUAGAUAUUAGGAGGAACACCAGUGGCGAAGGCGGCUUACUGGACAGUAACUGACGUUGAGGCUCGAAAGCGUGGGGAGCAAACAGG
rnacentral:rRNA from 1 species